rnacentral:lncRNA from 1 species
GGUGGUGUUACACACAUUCACACUGUUGCAGGCGUGCAGGUCGGUGGUGUUACACACAUUUGGGCUGUUGCAGGCGUACAGGUCAGUGGUGUUACACACAUGCUGUUGCAGGAGUACAGGUCGGUGGUGUUACACACAUUCAUGCUGUUGCAGGCGUGCAGGUUGGUGCUGUUACACACAUGCUGUUGCAGGAGUACAGGUCGGUGGUGUUACAUGCUGUUGCAGGCGUGCAGGUCGGUGGUGUUACAUUCACGCUGUUGCAGGCGUGCAGGUCGGUGCUGUUACACACAUUCCUGCUGUUGCAGGAGUACAGGUCGGUGGUGUUACACGUGCUGUUGCAGGUGUGCAGGUCGGUGGUGGUACACACAUUCAUGCUGUUGCAGGAGUAUAGGUCGGUGGUGUUACACACAUUCACGCUGUUGCAGACGUGCAGGUCAGUGCUGUUACACACGCUGUUGCAGGCGUGCAGGUUGGUGGUGUUACAUUCACACUGUUGCAGGCGUGCAGGUCGGUGGUGUUACACACAUUCAUUCUGUUGCAGGCGUGCAGGUCAGUGUUACACACAUUCACGCUGUUGCAGGCGUGCAGGUCGGUGGUGUUACACACAUUCACGCUGUUGCAGAUGUGCAGGUCGGUGCUGUUACAUUCACGCUGUUGCAAGCGUGCAGGUCGGUGGUGUUACAUUCACGCUGUUGCUGGCGUGCAGGUCGGUGGUGUUACACACAUUCACACUGUUGCAGACAUGCAGGUCGGUGCUGUUACACACAUUCAUGCUGUUGCAGGCGUGCAGGUCGGUGGUGUUACAUUCACACUUGCAGGCGUGCAGGUCGGUGGUGUUACACACAUUCAUGCUGUUGCAGGCGUGCAGGUCGGUGGUGUUACACACAUUCACACUGUUGCAGGCGUGCAGGUCGGUGGUGUUACAUUCAUGCUGUUGCAGGCGUGCAGGUCAGUGGUGUUACACACAUUCACGCUGUUGCAGGCAUGCAGGUCGGUGGUGUUACACACAUUCACGCUUUUGCAGGCGUGCAGGUCGGUGGUCUUACAUUCAUACUGUUGCAGGCGUGCAGGUCGGUGGUGUUACAUUCACACUGUUGCAGGCGUGCAGGUUGGUGUUACACACAUUCACACUUGCAGGCGUGCAGGUCGGUGGUGUUACACACAUGCUGUUGCAGGCGUGCAGGUCGGUGGUGUUACAUUCACACUGUUGCAGGCGUGCAGGUCGGUGGUACACACAUUCACACUGUUGCAGGCGUGCAGGUCGGUGGUGUUACACACAUUCAUGGUGUUGCAGGCGUGCAGGUCGGUGUUACACACAUGCUGUUGCAGGCGUGCAGGUCGGUGGUACACACAUUCAUGCUGUUGCAGGCGUGCAGGUCGGUGGUGUUACAUUCACGCUGUUGCAGGAGUACAGGUCAGUGGUGUUACACACAUUCAUGCUGUUGUGCAGCUAUCACUUCCAUCUCCAGAGCCCUUUUCAUCUUAAAACUGAAGCUCUCCCAUCACACAGUGACCCUUCA